UAGUUGUGAGAAUAAUCAGAUGAAAAACUUGUGAUUGUAGGAGCGAAUUAAAGUUAGUAGCAGUUCAGCUUUUUCUAAGAUCUCAUUUUAAAAGAAGACUAAAUAGGCAUUUUUACUACAUGUGGUUUUAAUCAGUGUGAUAUAAUUUUCAGUUCCUUUGAUUAAUGAGUACAUUCUCAGCUUUUAGGUGUUACCUAUUUGUUCAGAAGCCAUAGAAACACUCCGACUUAACUGGCUUAAGCACAAUUUUUGACUGACUUAAUUAGCUUCUCUAGAGUUGCUAAUAACCAUACAGCCUUGACUGUGAACCAUGUAAUUAUUUUGACAUUAAUUCUCUCCCUGGGAUAUCUUACUCUUGAGGUCAUCAUUUUUCCACUUCAAUUUCUGGCUAGUAAUUUUACGAAUUAAAGAAACUACUAUUGGAAGACAUGUGUGGCUAUUAUAGCUUAAAAUUUUGUGGGAUAAAUAGGUAUCAACUUUUAUUUUCACUCCAAUAGCAGCUAUGUACUCUAUAAAAUCUGAUGUUACCAAAGUGAAAGAGGAGAAGAAUGUGAAGGAGGAGGUGGGUAAAAGCUAAGAAGAAGAAAAAGUAGUGAUGGGGCAGGGGAAAGAAAAAGAGAAAAAAAAAAGUAGAAAGAGAAGAAUUCUUUUCUAAUCCCCAAUGGCCAAAUUUUGCUUGCCCCUUCAAAUACAGCUUCUUAAAUGAAUAAAUUGCAGAUGGUCUCAGAUUUACAUUGAUUCAACUUCUGACUUUUUUGACUUUAUGAUGAUGUGAAACCUAUACACAUUUAGUAGAAACUGUAUUUUGAUUUUGAUAUUUUCUCAGGCUUGUUAUAUGCUGUUCAAUACUGGGCACCAGCAGUCGUAGCUCCUAGUCUGCACGAAAUUAUGAUAUUAAACAAUGAAUACACUUACAGUAGUUCUGUACUCAGACAACCAUUUUUCACUGUCAGUACAAGAGGUUAAGUGUAUUACACGCAUCUUGGAGCUGUCAUCAAAAAGACUACACAGAAGGAAUGUUGGCAAAGAUGUGGAGAAAAAAUAACUCUAGACCACUGUUGGUGGGAAUGUCAGUUGGUACAGCCACUGUGGAAAAUUGUAUGGAACUUCCUUAAGAAACUGUAAAUAGAACUCUAUGAUCCAGAAAUCCUACUUCUAGGUAUUAAUCUUAAGAAAGUAAAACCACUAAUUCAAAAAGACAUAUGUACCUCAAUAUUCAUAGCAACAUUAUUUAUAAUAACCAGGGUGUGGAAGCAACCUAAAUGUACAUCAAUAUAUGUAUGGAUAAAGAAAAUAUAUAUAUAAACAAUGAAGUAUUACCCAGUCAUAAAAAGGAAUGAAAUUCUUCCAUUUGCAAAUAGAUGAACCUAGAAAGUAUUAUGCUAGCGAGGCAAAGAAAGACAGGCAAAGAAAGACAAAUACUGUAUGUUAUCACUUAAAUAUUGGAAUCUAAAAAAACAAAACAAAGGAAAGUACAUAGCAAAACAGAAACAGACUCACAGAGAGAACAAACUAGUGGCUAGCAGUUGGGAGGAGAAAGGUUGGAGGAGCAAGGCAGUGGUAGGGGAUUAAGAAAUACAAACUUCUGUGUAUAAAACAAUUAAGUAACAAGGAUAUACUGUACAGCACAGAGAACUAUAGCCAUUAUUUUGCAAUAACAUUAAAUGGAAUAUGAUCUAUAAAAAUAUUGAUUUAUUUGGUUGCGCACCUGAAACUAAUGUAAUGUUAGUCAAUUAUAUUUCAAUAAUAAAAUGCAGUUUUGACUUACUAUGUUUUCAAUUUAUGAUGAGUUGAUCAAGAUCUAGCCCCACUGUGAAUUGAGAAGGAACAGUAUCCACAUUAUCUCCAAUUUCACAUCUCCUAUUUUCUAUUUAAAUUUAUUUUUUCCCUUUUUCCCUUCACCAAGCAAUCUAACUUCCUUUUGACAAGGUCAUCAAAAUGAUAUCUAUGUUACUAUAUCCAAGGGUCAAUUCUUAGUUCUCAGUUCAUCUAACCCAAUAGCAAUAGUUGCCAGAGUCAAUCAUCUACUCCUUUAUAAAAUGUAAUCACUAGGAUAACAUAUUAUAUUAGUUUUUCUCUCACUUCACUUGCUGCCUUCCUCAAAAUCUGCUUUAUUGAUUAUUCAUCUUUUCCAUCUUUAAUUUGGAAUGUCCCAUGACUUUGUGAUGUUCUUUUAUAUAUCUACACUCAGUCCAUUUUCGAUUGUUGGACCAAUAUGCUCUCAUACCUUGAACAGGUUUUUACAACGCCUUUUAUAUCUUUAGCAACAUCUCUCUCCCAAACUCAAUGCAUAUAUCCAACUUCUUACCAGAAUUCUCUUACAUAUCAAAUGAGUUUUUCUUUCUUUCUUUAUUCCUUUCCUUCCUCCCUUCCUUCCUUCUUUCUUUCUUUUUUUAUUUUUUAUUUUUUCUUUUUACGGCGAAGCAUUCUUUCUUUCUUCCACCUGUAGCAUAUGGAAGUUUCUGGGCCAGGGGUCAAAUGGAGUUGCAGCUGAAGCCUAUGCCACAGCCACGGCAAUGUUGGAUUUGAGCCACAUCUGUGACCCAUGCCAUCACAGCAAUGCUGGAUCCAUAAACCAAUAAUUGAGACCAGGUGUUAAACCUAUAUCCUCACAGAGAUAAUGUCAGGUCCUUAACCCACUGAGCCAAAAUAGGAACUCCAUGAGUCUUUCUAAUUUAACCUGUCCAAGAUGGGAUUCUAAACGUCUGACCCACAUCUUAUCUAACAACACACAGCCUUUCAUAUUUAAUUUGAUGGCUUCAUUUUUUUCAGUGAAUUAUAUCUUAUAUUUUCAAUUUAUUUCUUAAAACCUAGAAUUUAGCCACUUUCCCUCAGUGUGCCGCUGCCUUGCUGGUGUGUAUCACUAUAAUCUCUUCGAGAUACAGUUCCAGCUGUCUUCUACUUCAUCUCUCUGCUUUCAGUCUUGCCCAAUUCCCAAAAUCUGUUGUCAAAAAAAUAUUGAGUGGUCCUUCUAAACUCUAAAUCUGAUGAUCUUUAAGCCUGUAACUUAGAAUCCUCCCCUAAAUUAAUUCCAUUCAAAGUGAAAGCCUGAGUAUUUAUAAUCACCUAAAAAAAGGGUCUUUAUGAUCCCAAAACAUGAUAUUUUUCUAAUAUUAUCCCUACUUGCUUUUGCUCUUCAACUAUGAUGGUGAACUCCUAUUUUAAGACUUUAUACUCCUUAUUUCUUCACCCAGGCCAUCUGCAUAGACAUCUCCCUAACUUCCUUCAUGUCUUUGCUCAAUGUCACUUUCUCAAAGAAGAGUAUGUAACCUUUGGCUUGCCCCCGACCAUAACAAUACAAUCUAACUUACCCAGUCUGUACCCCCAGAGGACUAAUCAUUUUCCGUAAUACUAUAAUAAAUCUCUAUGGUUUAUACUCCUACUUCUUCCCCUAGAAAAAAUAUGAAUAGGAGCAUCCUUCUUUGUUGUUCUGAUCAAUUACGUGUUCUAUGCAUGGGUGCUAUAUAUUGUAAGAUUCAACAUUUGCUAAGCAACAAACAAAACUGAUUCUCAUUUGUUGUAGGUAACGCAAUCUUUCUCUAUACUUAGGAUUUUCUGUUUAUCCUUAAUAUAUUGAAGUUUCAUUACAAUGCCUUCUUAUUUGUUGUUGCUGAAAUUUGUAUAUAUUAUUGUAUUGGUGUGGUAGCUAUUGUUGAUUGAAGUGGUACAUAGCAGAUUCUUUAACUCUGAAGACAUCACUUUUAUCAUGUAGAAUUUGAUGCCCUUAUUUCUUAACAGGUUUUCCAUCUUCCAUGCUUACUCUGCUUUCUUUCAGAACUCUAAUUAGAAGUAUUUAGAAGUCUGGGUUGAUGUUAUCACUCUAUUUUCUCAUAUUUUCCUUCCUUGUUUCUUUUGACUAUACAGUAACAUAGCUUAACAUAUAGGUUUUGUCUAGUGUCCUCUUUACCUUUCAUCUUAAUGAUUUGUUGCUGCUUUGGUCAUUUCAAUAUUUAUUAUUUUAAUUUCCCAGAUUUCUGAGUUUUUUUCUGUUUUAUAAGAAACUUGCAUUUUACAGUCUUAUUUUCUUUUACGUGACUUGGCCCCAUUUCCAAUUUGCAUAAGAAUUUAAAUACAUGUUUUAUGAUUUAGCAAAUACUGUUCUUUUAUCUCUUUUUGCAGCUAAUACAUUCUUUAUGUGUUUGUAUCUAGAAUUAGAACUUCCUUAGAGGAAGGAAUGUUAAUUGUUUUUUGAGCUUAUAUAUUUUUAGAAAGUGGAAAGGAAUUUCUCCUGCAUCAGUUGUGGAUUAUGUGCUUCCCUCCCAGGAAUCAAAAAGAGCUAAAUUAAUCCAGUACAGACGUUUAUAUUCUGAAGUUCACUUCUUUGAUUACGACAUGUAUGCUACAUUUUGGAGGGUAUUUAAAUACCAUGUUUGAGAAUAUAGGUCAUUGUUCAUCGACUUUUUGCAUUAGAAUCAUGAGAGAAGACCUCAAAACUAGGAAAAUUUGGUCCUCAUCUGUAAAGUUUUUUAUAUAGUUGUUAUAAGAUGUGUGUUGUUCCUUCCAUGUGUUUCUGUUAAAGCCAACAAUACAGGAAUUACAAUCAAAACAAGACAAAUACAAAAAUUCUACAUAUUGAUCAUUAAUACACAGACCUAUGUUUAUCUCUGAUUAUUUCACAGAUGCAUAGUGUAAUGUGGGCAAUAUUUCAUAAACAACAAACAUGAGGGAAUUAGAUUUUUUUUUUUUGUCUUUUGUCUUUUUAGGGCUGCACCGGCAGCAUAUGGAAGUUAGGGGUUGAAUCAGAGCUGUACUUGCCAGCUUACACAACAGCCACGGCAACUCCAGAUCCAAGCCUUGUCUGCAACCUACACCACAGCUCACGGAAAUGCCAGAUCCUUAACCCACCGAGCAAGGCCAGAGAUGGAACUUACAUCCUCCUGGAUACUAGUUGAGUUUGUUAACCACUGAGCCACAACGGGAACUCCACUUUCUUAUUUUCUUUUUUUUUCCCUUGGAAAUUAGAUUUUAUUUACAAUAAUAGUACAUCAAAUACAUAGGAAGAGUUUGUCAGACUCAGAUGAAAUAAGUAAUAGUGCUAUGUUAAUUAUGUUGCAGAUCUUAGUUGGAAAAUUGUUCUGAAGACAGUGUUUAAAAUUAGCAUAGAGAUAGUUUAUUCUGAAAAAAUCAUGUGUAACUGUGUCCAAAACAUCUGAUGAAUUAACUUAUUAAUUUAUAGAAUAAUCCAAAUUUACUUAUUUAAUUUUUUACUUGAAUCUAUUUUUUGACAAUAGAUGUACUACAAGCACUAUUCUAUUAUGUACUGGUAACACAUAACUAAGACUGACAUUUCCUCAUAUAGUUUACAUUCUAAGAUAGUAAUGACAAACUUUCCACCCAACUUUGAAAAGUAUUAUCAAUUUUAGGGUUUAUGUUUCUGUGUUGUUUUGUUUGAUGUCGAUUCAGAUAAUUAUUUGAAAGAUAUUGUAAUAAAAGAUAAGAUAAACACUUGAAAGAACAGAGAUAUGAAGACAAAUUAAUUUUCCUUUAAUAAUAUAAUCAUUUCUUCGAGCAAAUUCAAUUAAGAGAAUAAUAAAGUGUGUUUUUUGUCCAACACAGUACAUAGCUAUAUACUGAUUUUUUUUAAGUGAAUACAUUUUGUAUAAUUCAGAAAAAAAGAGAAUUCUGUUAGAUUACUCUUGCAGUUUCCAAUGAUACAUCUGGGUCUUAAAUCUGGAGCGAAAAAAAAGCCAACUAAUCUGGAUAUCUUGAUAGCAUUCUUAAUGCAUGAAAGAGAAUAAUAUUUAAAAUAAAAUAACCUGUAAAGGCAAGAGUAAUUCUGUUUUAAUGUAGAUGUAUAAGCAGCUAAAUAAAUUCUAAUGCCUGUUCACCUGAAUAUUUUUUCAAACAGAUAUUACAUCUACCUUGGAUAAGGUCCCAUGUUGUCACAUACUGUUUAAGAGAAUGUUCUCUGGUGUCACAAACCUGGGUGCUAAAAAGUCUAAGGUGGAGUUCUAAGAGUAACCCCGAAUGACUCUUUCCCUUGUGUAAUCUUCUACCCUUUCAGUGUGAAUGGAAUUUGUAACGAUGACUAGAAAUUACUCCAUGACUGUUACAUUACAUGGCAAGAGUAAUUUUGCAGAUGUAAUAAAGGUUGUUAAUUAACUUAAAAUAGUGAUAUUAUUUGGGUGGGCUAAAUCUAAUCACAAUGCCCUUUGAAAGGAGAACAUUUUCUCUGGCUGGUGGCAGAUAGGACAUUAGGGAGAGAGUAGGUGUAAGACUGAUGCACCACUGCUGACUUUGAAGGGGAAAGGGACCCUGUGAGAAGGAAUACUGGCAGUCUCUAGGAGUGGAAAACAGCCUCUACUUAUG
rnacentral:lncRNA from 1 species